UCAGGCCCCUAUGUGGGAGGUGGGGAUUGUCCACAGAGAUCUGUGGCCACGUGGGGAGAGUUCUGGCAUCUGACAAUGUGUGUGGCAAGGGUCUAGCAAAACACUCUGGCCAGGGAAAGAGGACUCUGGGUUCUUGCGAGACCCGUCCAGACCAUGGCCUUCUUCCCAGGAGGGUGUGUGAACCGCCUCUGUGGCCCUCGAAGUCGAGAAGGAGAGUCUGCUCAGGGGUGAGCAUCCCUUCGAGAUAAUUCAGCGGCUGCCCUACUUUCAGCUUUACCAAGAUAGGAUGCUUAAGAAUUAAGAGGGAAAAAUACAUGACUUUGCUUUAAAGUGAGAUCAAGAAGCAAUUGUUUGCCAUCUUUCUUCCUGGGAAAGGAGACUGACUGUUCCUGAGACAGCUCUUGAUUGAAUCGUGGCACCCAGCCCACAGGCUCAUCUCAUGACAUUGGUCCAUGGGGGUACUACAGCCUUUUCACUACAGUGAAAGAACAUUUUCAAUAAGUACUAAAGAUUGGGCCACAUUGGCCGGUUUGGAAACUGUGAUGAUCAAGGGAAGGAAUGGAAAGGAAAGAAGCACUCAGGAGGCCCCCAAAAGCACUUUGGCACACACCAAUGCAGCCAGACGAUGAAUAACACAGUGGGGGUGCAUGGCUAAGUAUAAUGCAAAAAGACAAGUUCAGAAUCAAUUCCACAUCAUUGGUUGGGUGCCGUGACGAGCUCAAUCCAGCUCAGCAGGAAAGAGUGGUUUCAUCUACUGUCGAGAUUGCCAUGAGCACGAUGGGAGACAGUGGGAACUCAUGUGCUAUACGUCUAUAUCUACCUUCCUGGUUUAAUGAUCACUAACAAAUUGAUCAUGACCUUUGGAUCUGAACAACAUUGGUUCUUCACCAAAAUAAAAUCCGCCAUCAAUGGAUGAAGAUUUGCUACCCAUGGAUUUUUAAAUAGGGUAUGCCACAGGCUUUUGAAGAUUCUUCCAAAGAGAAACUCCUAAAAUGUUUGUGCAAUGGAAGCUUCAUUGGUUUAAGAGUAUGGUCUCCUAAAAGUAUUAUACUGAAGGCCAAAA